GAUGAACGCUGGCGGCGUGCUUAACACAUGCAAGUCGAACGGAGCUAUGACACGGAGUCUUCGGAUGAAGUGCUGUAGCUUAGUGGCGGACGGGUGAGUAACACGUGAGCAACCUACCUUUUGCAGGGGAAUAACUCUGGGAAACCAGAGCUAAUACCGCAUGCCGUGCGCUUGGGGCAUCCCAGGUGCAUGAAAGGAGCAAUCCGGCAGAAGAUGGGCUCGCGUCCGAUUAGGUAGUUGGAGAGGUAACGGCUCCCCAAGCCGACGAUCGGUAGCCGGACUGAGAGGUCGAUCGGCCACAUUGGGACUGAGACACGGCCCAGACUCCUACGGGAGGCAGCAGUGGGGAAUAUUGGGCAAUGGGCGGAAGCCUGACCCAGCGACGCCGCGUGAAGGAGGAAGGCUUUCGAGUUGUAAACUUCUUUGGGGAGGGACGAAGAUGACGGUACCUCCAGAACAAGCCACGGCUAACUACGUGCCAGCAGCCGCGGU
rnacentral:rRNA from 1 species